rnacentral:rRNA from 1 species
UCCGAUUUAGCCAUGCUAGUCGCACGGGUUUAGACCCGUGGCGAACAGCUCAGUAACACGUGGCCAAACUGCCCUGUGGACGGGGAUAAUCUCGGGAAACUGAGGCUAAUCCCCGAUAGGGCUUCCAUCCUGGAGAGGAGGAAGUCCAAAAGUUGCGCUGCGGCACCACAGGAUGUGGCUGCGGCCGAUUAGGUAGACGGUGGGGUAACGGCCCACCGUGCCAGUAAUCGGUACGGGUGAUGAGAGUCAGAGCCCGGAGACGGUAUCUGAGACAAGAUACCGGGCCCUACGGGGCGCAGCAGGCGCGAAACCUUUACACUGUACGACAGUGCGAUAGGGGGAUUCCGAGUGCGAGGGCAUACAGUCCUCGCUUUUCUGGACCGUAAGGAGGUCCAAGAAUAAGGGCUGGGCAAGACCGGUGCCAGCCGCCGCGGUAAUACCGGCAGCCCGAGUGAUGGCCGAUAUUAUUGGGCCUAAAGCGUCCGUAGCU